GGUUCGUUGUUAUACAUAUCACACUUCUUCGUUACACUUUCUUCUUCUAUCUCUCACAACGAAGCGAAUCACCAUUCUCUCUAUCUCUCAGGUUCGAUUUUCUCUUCACUUUUUCCUCUCUCCAAUUCAUUCCUCGCAAAUUCUCUCUCUAUCUUCUUCCCAAACAAAUCGGGUUUUAUUCUUUUUCUUUGCAGUUUCUUCAACUUCGAUUUGUUUCAGAUCUAUACUAUUUUUGAUUUUUUUCAACUCUUUCUCUGUUUAUUAGAUUCCUCUUCUUUUCCAUUCGAUUUCUGUAACCACCGUUCAAAACGAUGUAGUUUUGUUGACUUACUAUUUAUAUUCCCGAUGUGA